AGAGAGGAAUUAGGGUUUUUAAUAAAAAAGAAAUUCAAAGCAAUAUGUUUUUUUGAUGGAACAAAGAGAUAGGAAUAAGGGUUUGGAUUAAAAUGAAAAAGGAAGGAGGAAAAUAACAAAAGCAAAAGGGAAGAAGGGGAAAGUGAAACUGCAGAAGGGCGGGGGCGGCAGCUUAUUUCAACUUUUCCUUUUUUUUUUUUUUUUUUUGGCUUUACAGUUGACACGUUAAGUUACUGUGCCGUUUGUGGACUUCUUUUUCUUGUGUCAAGCCAAACACGACAUUAAACAACUCACAGCAAGAGACUGUAGGAUAACUCACAGGGGGGAUUUGAGCCCUAUUUCAAGGCCAUGUCUAGUAUUCACUUUUAACUCUUUUAUAUGUAUAAAUAUGCAGGAUCUUCCGCGAACCUUUCCUGGUCACCCAUGGUUGGUCACCCCAGAGGGUCAUGCUGCUCUCAGACGUGUCCUUGUGGGAUAUUAUUCUGAUGUUGGUUACUGUCAGGUGGGUUAACUUUUUUUAUUUUAUAAUAAGUAAUAACAAUAACACUAAGGGUUCAUUUCACUUAUUAUUAUUAUUAUUAUUAUAAUAAAUUAUAAGUUGUGGAACACUUACUUUCAGAAAGACAAGUUUUACAUGGUUCUAAAAAAUCUCAUAUAAAUAAACAAUAGUAGUUGGAUAUAUUGGAAGCUACACGGGAAAUAAUCAAUUAGUCUAUUUUUUAAAAUUUUUUUACAAGUUAAUACAAAUGUUAAAGAUAACUAAGAAAUGGGUAAGUUUUUUAAAAUAGGAAAAAGGACUGAUUAAUUGAUGGAAAAUGAUAUUUAUGCCGAUGGAAUUCGCCGAUUUGUUAGACAGAAUUUUACUUUGCGUCUAGUUGGCAAAAAAACAUAGGUCCAUUCAUCUUCCCUGUCUCUCCUCUGCCUCUCUAACCUCCCUCGAGUUGCAGAUCUGAUCUGAACACAAGGGAAACGGUGAGACCGGUACAAAUUUGCAUCUGUGGAGAAGAAGCAGAGACACGGCCGGCGAAGCUGAUCGGAAUAGACAAUUGGAAAGUUUACAAACCGGCACCGACGGGAACAGUCUCUUCACGGCGUCGCAGAAGGAGAUGGGAUCGGCGGCGGUGGGCGCCAGAGAUCUACAGCGGAGGACGGUGAGGAGGUUCUUGGAGGAUCUUGGAUCUGUGAGCAGGGUUGGUGUGUUGGGUAUCGGGCAGUGAUGGUUGACGGCGAGUUGCUGUGGAUGAAGGGUGCAAACGUGUCGGCCGACGGUGACGAUGAAUCGUGGAAGACGCCGGUGAGUUUGGUUCAAUUUUUUUCGAUCGCGAAAUUUCAGAUUGUCAUCUUUGUGCGUGGGUCGCCGGUGGCUCUCACGAGUUGUGUUUUCACCGUAAGAAACUGGUCUGAUUUUGCUGUUGUUGUUUGCAUUGGUGAGGCUUCAUCGGUUCUUUGUCUUUUUGGCCGGAAGUUGCAGAGGUUUACCGGCGUUCUCGGCUGUCGUCUUUUUCGUCGAAAGCUUCUUACGGUCAGAUUCUCAAACUCCAAGCAGUCCUUCGUCGUGGUGGGUUGUAGACUUGCAGUUUGGCUCAAUCUUGUCGUCGGGUGUUUUGUUUGCCGUCGCCGUGCCUUGCCGAGAGCUUGCCUUUGUAACUUUGUUUUGGUUGUUGGUCGGAUAUUCAGGCUUUUGAUAAGAGGUCAUGUAUUCUGUAACUCUGAUUGGUUUUCGUACAUGUACACUUGCACUUUCCAACUGAUAGUCCUUUAUAUUUUUGGAAUAUCCCAUUCAUUUGUCUUAGCUGAUUGGAGUGAUAGUUUGGAAUGUUUUCUAUGAAUUGCUUGUUUGUUUCGUGCCGCAGAUCUUCCCUACAAGGACUACCAGAGCAACCAGAAUUUCAGUGUCACUACUUACUCUUCUACUAGUGUCGAAAAAACAACAAAUUAUGGACGGCGGAAGUUGGCAUCCACACGAGAGAUGAAGAAGCACUACUAAAUUUCAAAACGUGGAGGGAUAUUCCAGAUUCUGAGAGACAGGUUUGCUAUGAUCAUUUUAAGGUAAUGUGUUCUUUUCUUUUCAUUCGAUACAAUGCUAAAUACUCGAACAAUUUAAAUUCUAAGAACCACCAUACUCUUAUAUUCGGUAUACCUCCAAUUUCAUGCAAUAACUACAUUUAAUUAAUACAAUAAGCAAAUUUGCCUGGUAGCAUCCAUUCUUAUGCCUGGGACUAACAAUGAAAAUGACCCCUGUAAGUAGGACUAACACUACUGGGGAUGUUUUUGUUUUGGUCCAUGAGAAUUGAAAGACAGCCAGCUACUUCAUUCAUUCGACUUCCAGCCCAGAUUCAGGGUAUGGAAGGAUUGGAUUCCAGAUUUUAACAGCGCACUAAAGAAGAUAAGAAUUUUACCACUCAAUUUAUAAAAUAUCAAAGAACGAAAUCGAAGAACGAAAAUUUUUUCCCAAGUUAAUAUGAAACUGUUAGCUUAGUAACUUAUUGCAACUCUUUGUUGGUUUAGACCACCAUUUGCGCUGAUCAAUAUAAGAAAUUUCUUGUUCUUUUAGCAUGAUUGAUGAUGAGAACCAGAUUGAAAAUUGGCUUCUCCCAGUGGCGUCUCUCAUUAUGGGUUUUGUUUCAUAGGCUGUAAGAUUUAAAAAGAUAUUUUUCAAGAAGCUUUAUAUUUCAGAGAGAUUUGCCUGAUUUAAAGACCAAGUGGUUCCAUCAUAUGCACAAACAGCUAUAGUGAGAAGUAAACCAAGGGGGGUCAAAUUUCUACUGCCUUGCUGUAAUCACAGUGAAAAUAUUUAAUUUUGUACCGGUGCCAUAGGAGCUCGUCACUAAAGAAGCUGUUGUAGGAUGCUAGAUUUUCUUUUUUGGUUGUAAAUCUUAGUAGUUUUGGAAAAUGGCAAUUUCACAUGUACAUAUUAAGGUGGAGAGAUUAUUUAUGGAACUUAUAAUGGUUAUUGAAAUUACUUGGGAAAUAAUAACUUUAAUCUCACCUAAAAUAUAUAUAUAUAUAUAUAUAUAUAUAUAUAUAUAUAUAUAUAUAUAUAUGUUAUUGAAUAAAAAGUGUCAGAUAUGAAGUUAGUCUUUGCCAUUUAACUUUUGAAGCCUUGCAAGUUAUCAAUAGGUGCAUGUUGGUUAUGCAUUUUACUCUAAUAGUAUCUCAGAUAGAUGGGUUGCCAGUUUUGAGAUUUGGACAUAUGUCCUGUAAUAGUAUUUGGCUUAGGGGAAAGUCUUAGUAUUUGGAUAAUUGUUCUGUAGUUUGUUUUGGGAGAGAUCGGUAGAUGGUCUUUGUUUUUAGUUUAUUUCAUCGGUUGUUUUUGUUGCUUGGGUUUACCUUUUUAUUGGGAAAAAUUCUGGUUUUUAGUUAUUCAAAAAAUGUGGUAUUUAAACCGAUUUGGGGUUUGUUCAUUGUUAAUGGUUUUGUUUUAGCAAGGGAUAAUCUCUGGUUUUGAUUGUAAAUGAGUUAUAUAUGCUUGUUUAGAUUACAGUUUCUUUAUUUAAAUUUUGGGGAUAAUUUUUAAUUUAUUUCUUCAUCUGUUCUUUUUAAAUUUGAAAAAACUAGAAUUUUGGUUUAGAGAGUUGGAGCUUAGAGAAGAUACAGGUGGAUGUUACUAGAGUCCUAGUUAUUUUACAGAGACAAGGGGCAACUGAGCCUUUAAGAUGACUGUGAUGGGAGAUUGUUUUAUUUUACAUGUACAAGGAGGAACUAAGGCUUUGAGAGGUUUGUAGCAGAUCGAGUUCAGAUUUCAGCAUGCUACAAUUGAACUUCUUUUGGACAUUGAAAAUAUGACCUCUUUGUAAAAGCAUAUUCAAUCCUAAACGCUGCAUGUUCGGAUCAAAUUAUAGUUUUGUUUAUCUCUUAGUUAUAAGUUGCUUCAGGAGAUGUAUUCAAUUUGCAGGUAGCUCUGCUUUUCAUAAUACAUGUUCAUUGAUAGCACCUGUAAAAAUGGAUCUAUACUUUUUAUGUCU